rnacentral:rRNA from 1 species
UACAGAGGGUGCAAGCGUUAAUCGGAAUUACUGGGCGUAAAGCGUGCGUAGACGGUUAUGUAAGUCGGGUGUGAAAGCCCCGGGCUCAACCUGGGAAUGCCAUUCGAGACUGCAUAGCUAGGGUGCGGAAGAGGGAAGCGGAAUUUCCGGUGUAGCGGUGAAAUGCGUAGAUAUCGGAAGGAACAUCAGUGGCGAAAGCGGCUUCCUGGACCAGCACCGACGUUCAGGCACGAAAACGUGGGGAGCAAACAGG